ensembl:rRNA 5S_rRNA 5S ribosomal RNA
GUCUACGGCCGUACCGCACUGAACAUGCCCGAUCUCAUCUGAUCUCGGAAGCUAAGCAGGGUCGGGCCUGAUUAGUACUUGGAUGGAGUCUGGCCAUUCUAACAGGUGUAUAGU